GACGUAGGGUCCGAGCGUUGUCCGGAGUUACUAGGGCGUAAAGGCGCGUGAGGCGGCUUUGUGCGUCACCCGUGGAAAGCCCCCCGGCUCAACCGGGGGAGGGUCGGGUGAAACGGCGGAGCUGGAGGCAGCGAGAGGGCUGGUGGAAUUCCCGGAGUAGUGGUGAAAUGCGUAGAGAUCGGGAGGAACACCGGUGGCGAAG
rnacentral:rRNA from 1 species